UAGUCUGUUGGUUUUUUAUAAUAGAUGUUUUCUGCCCGGUGUUGAGGAGUAAACGGCCGCGGUACUUUGACCGUGCAAAGGUAGCAUAAUCAUUUGUUCUUUAAUUGGGGACUGGAAUGAAGGAAAAGGGGCGAAACUAAAGCUGUCUCUUUUUUUGGUUUGGAAUUUGCUUUUUUUGUGAAGAAGCAAAGGUAAAAGAAAAAGACAAGAAGACCCUAUUAAGCUUGACUCUUUUUGUUUUGAGUUGUAGUUUUGUUUAAAUAUUUUUUUUAAAUGUUGAAUGUAGAGUUUGGUUGGGGCGACUGAAAAGGAUAAGAAAGCCUUUUUGCUUGUUUUUAAUUUUGGAUUUAAGAGUGACCCAGAAUUUUCUGGUUGAUGGAAUUAGUUACUGUAGGGAUAACAGCGUAAUUUUUUUGUAAAGUUCUUAUUGAAGAAAAAGUUUGCGACCUCGAUGUUGACUUUUUAUUUCCUUUGAAGGUGUAGGAGCUGGAAGGGUUAGUCUGUUCGACUAUUAAAAUAAA
rnacentral:rRNA from 1 species